AAACUGCGAUAAGUAGUGUGAAUUGCAUUUAGUGAAUCAUCGAAUCUUUGAACGCACCCUGCACUCACUGGUAUUCCGGUGAGUACGCCUGUUUCAGUAUCAUUGAAAACACACAAUCAAAACAUUUUCUUUGGUUUGAUUGGCUUUGGGUCUAUCAAAAAGUUUGGCUUGUUUCUUACAAGCCAAGCGGCCUGAAAUAUAUUGUCUGGCUAAUUGCAUCGUUGAUGAUCGCUAUUAGACUUUGGCUUUUUUAAAUGAACUGGAGGUUGAUUAACCAGUUUUAGCUGUAGUCAAAUGGUCAUUGUAAAAAAAAUCUCGAUCUUGGCUAGGUGUUUAUAGCCGAAAAUUUUUUUUUGGCUAUAACCGAAACCAAUAUAAUCACAUUUAGUUAUCGAUCUGAAAUCAGGUGGGACUACCCGCUGAACUUAAGC
rnacentral:misc_RNA from 1 species